rnacentral:rRNA from 1 species
UGCGCAGGCGGCUCUUUAAGACAGGUGUGAAAUCCCCGGGCUUAACCUGGGAAUUGCGCUUGUGACUGGGGAGCUCGAGUGCGGCAGAGGGGGAUGGAAUUCCUGGUGUAGCAGUGAAAUGCGUAGAUAUCAGGAGGAACACCGAUGGCGAAGGCACGUCCCCUGGGUCGACACUGACGCUCAUGCACGAAAGCGGUGGGGAGCAAACA